rnacentral:piRNA from 1 species
UGCAAUACAUGGAAACAGCCAGUUAGC